GCAGCGACACUAUGUGUUGUUGGGUAGGGGAGCGUUCUGUAAGCCUGCGAAGGUGUGCUGUGAGGCAUGCUGGAGGUAUCAGAAGUGCGAAUGCUGACAUAAGUAACGAUAAAGCGGGUGAAAAGCCCGCUCGCCGGAAGACCAAGGGUUCCUGUCCAACGUUAAUCGGGGCAGGGUGAGUCGACCCCUAAGGCGAGGCCGAAAGGCGUAGUCGAUGGGAAACAGGUUAAUAUUCCUGUACUUGGUGUUACUGCGAAGGGGGGACGGAGAAGGCUAUGUUAGCCGGGCGACGGUUGUCCCGGUUUAAGCAUGUAGGCUGGUUAUCCAGGCAAAUCCGGAUAAUCAAGGCUGAGGUGUGAUGACGAGGCACUACGGUGCUGAAGUAACAAAUGCCCUGCUUCCAGGAAAAGCCUCUAAGCAUCAGGUAACAUCAAAUCGUACCCCAAACCGACACAGGUGGUCAGGUAGAGAAUACCAAGGCGCUUGAGAGAACUCGGGUGAAGGAACUAGGCAAAAUGGUGCCGUAACUUCGGGAGAAGGCACGCUGGUGUGUAGGUGAAGUCCCUGCGGAUGGAGCUGAGACCAGUCGAAGAUACCAGCUGGCUGCAACUGUUUAUUAAAAACACAGCACUGUGCAAACACGAAAGUGGACGUAUACGGUGUGACGCCUGCCCGGUGCCGGAAGGUUAAUUGAUGGGGUUAUCCGUAAGGAGAAGCUCUUGAUCGAAGCCCCGGUAAACGGCGGCCGUAACUAUAACGGUCCUAAGGUAGCGAAAUUCCUUGUCGGGUAAGUUCCGACCUGCACGAAUGGCGUAAUGAUGGCCAGGCUGUCUCCACCCGAGACUCAGUGAAAUUGAACUCGCUGUGAAGAUGCAGUGUACCCGCGGCAAGACGGAAAGACCCCGUGAACCUUUACUAUAGCUUGACACUGAACAUUGAGCCUUGAUGUGUAGGAUAGGUGGGAGGCUUUGAAGCGUGGACGCCAGUCUGCGUGGAGCCAACCUUGAAAUACCACCCUUUAAUGUUUGAUGUUCUAACGUUGGCCCCUGACCGGGGUUGCGGACAGUGUCUGGUGGGUAGUUUGACUGGGGCGGUCUCCUCCCAAAGCGUAACGGAGGAGCACGAAGGUUAGCUAAUCCUGGUCGGACAUCAGGAGGUUAGUGCAAUGGCAUAAGCUAGCUUGACUGCGAGCGUGACGGCGCGAGCAGGUGCGAAAGCAGGUCAUAGUGAUCCGGUGGUUCUGAAUGGAAGGGCCAUCGCUCAACGGAUAAAAGGUACUCCGGGGAUAACAGGCUGAUACCGCCCAAGAGUUCAUAUCGACGGCGGUGUUUGGCACCUCGAUGUCGGCUCAUCACAUCCUGGGGCUGAAGUAGGUCCCAAGGGUAUGGCUGUUCGCCAUUUAAAGUGGUACGCGAGCUGGGUUUAGAACGUCGUGAGACAGUUCGGUCCCUAUCUGCCGUGGGCGCUGGAGAAUUGAGGGGGGCUGCUCCUAGUACGAGAGGACCGGAGUGGACGCAUCACUGGUGUUCGGGUUGUCAUGCCAAUGGCACUGCCCGGUAGCUAAAUGCGGAAGAGAUAAGUGCUGAAAGCAUCUAAGCACGAAACUUGCCCCGAGAUGAGUUCUCCCUGAGACU
rnacentral:rRNA from 1 species